rnacentral:rRNA from 1 species
CAGCCCUAAACGAUGCGCGUUAGGUGUAUCGGUGACCACGAGUCACCGAGGUGCCGAAGGGAAACCGUGAAACGUGCCGCCUGGGAAGUACGGUCGCAAGGCUGAAACUUAAAGGAAUUGGCGGGGGAGGCACCACAACGGGUGGAGCCUGCGGUUUAAUUGGACUCAACGCCGGGAAGCUCACCGGAUAAGACAGCGGAAUGAUUGCCGGGCUGAAGACCCUGCAUGACCAGCUGAGAGGAGGUGCAUGGCG